CCUACGGCUCUCAGCUUCCGGUUGUUGUUGGUCGAACACAUGUGUUAUGUGUAUCAGUAUAACGGCUAUGCGGGGAACUUGAGAUUGGCUACUUGUGCCAUGCCAACAUCAAAUUUGGAGCAAGUGGAAGUUCUUUCCAUUGAGUAUGUUGAGAACAGCCUGCACCAGGAAGGUCCAGGAUGAGCAGGUGAUGGCAUGGAGGUGAUGGGACAGGAGCAGGGAUAAAUUGAGCUGUUUAUGAGAAAGAUUGUCUACUCCUACAAAAAGCUCAUUGUGUGAUAAUGUUUUGCAUCUGCCACAGCAGCCAGCCAUGUUAUCAGUCAAAAAUGAAGAUGAAAACAGCAACUCAAAUAAGGUCAUGGCAGCAAAUGCACAAAGACUGAAUGAUGGAAAGCCACUGAGCACUACGUGGAAAUGUGGUUACUUGCCCCCUCUACCUGGCCAUUAAGUGCCUCGUGCAUUAAAGCUUCCAGAGCACACAGUGGCAAGGGGCAGGCUUAUACACUUGUAGACCACCUAAUGGAAGGAUCGAAGAUAUGCUGUAUCAGUGUGGAUUAAGGUGAAAUGUAAGAAAUGGAGCAUUAAUUAAAUAGAACUGCACCUUUCAAGUUUUUUGAUGCAGUGUGUUUUUGGUGUGGUUGAUGUCUCAAGAUGGCUUAGAGUAUCAUGUCAUAAGACUUGGGGUCCAAUUUCAAAAGAUACCAGCAUGUGGAAGAUGAAAACAUACAGGAUGUCAUGACGUGUAAAAGUUGUAAUGGGCUGCAGAAUCAGUGGCAGUUUGCUGUUGCUAAAGGGUAUUCUUUUCUGGGAAUACAAUGGACAAACAGAACAAGAUAAAUGUUUGUAGCCAAGUAGGCAUAUUGCCCAACCCUGAGCAACGAGAUAUGCUAGAAUUAUGAAGAACAUAGCUACUAGGCCAUCAGUGAAUAGUGCCAUGGGAUCUUGUCAAACAAGUUGUGAUUCUGUUUACCAUCCAGUCACAACAAUUCGUGAUCUGGAAAGGGAAACAUACUGCACAGCUUAAAAAAGAGGUUGAAAUAAUGAUGGGAGCUAGUCCCGAACAGGAGUUGCUGUUUCUGACACCCAAAGCACUGAUUUAGUUCAUGCUGUCAUCCAACAGAACAUGCAUAAGCAGUAAUUAGAAGUAACACCAGAACUACAGAGAACAGGACAUGUGUGUCUGUGAGUCAUUGUUUUGUAGAUCUUGCAUGGAUGAGGGAGCGUGAGGUGGUUGUACCAAAGGUCCCACUGAUUACAAUUUUUGUAACUGUUUCCUGACACAUAAAAGGGUGUUUUAGAGUUUGUAGUGAUGUUCCUUUGGCAGCCUGCUUUCACUUAAUUGAAGUAGCAAACCUAUAGAGUACAUUUGUAUAGAAAGGUGUGGUGUCCUGUCGGACAUGUGAUAGAACAGACAAUACUCAUGAUAAAGCAGCUAGUGCAUUUGUAGUUUCACAGACUAUACAUAAUCAAAACAGAAAAAGGAAACAACUAUCACAUGUUCAGAAGUAUUAAUAGUGCUAGUGUUAGUAAUAAUAAUAAUGAUUGCAGAUGAUAGUGCUGCCAUACAUCAGCUUUGUGUGUUGUCUAGAGACUUUACUUUGUGCCAUAUCACAAGGUAUGAAGUGCAAUGGAAUGUUCGGGGAACAGAGUGGUGAGUUCCAAUUGAUGUUCUGGCCCCCAACCAGAUGUGAACCUGAUUGGACACCUGGGAUGUUACUGAACGUGGCGUCAGAGCUAGUCAUCUCCCUUCCUCAAAUUUACAGGAAUCUGGUGACUUGUAUGCAGAUGUGUCAACUCCCUCCAGCAACCUUCCUGUGUCUGAUUGCUUCCAUGCCACGAUUUGUGUCACUGCUGUUAUCUGUGCCAAAGGUGGACAAACUAUAUUGUAAGCUGUAAAGUAAAAUUUUUUGUUACACUGAAAAUGUACCACAACAGAAACGACAUCCAGAAAAUGGUAGAUAACUGGCAACAAGCAGCUCAUGCACUCAUGACGGCCUAUAAAGACACAAAUGUCUAUAAUGCCGACUAAAGUGGAUUUAACAAGGAGAUGACUGUGGGCCGCACUCUAGCACCCAGAGGUGCUAAAGAUAUUGUAGGAUUUGUACAGUUUGUUCACGUGACAACUCAUAUGUACAUAAUUACUGCAUCACUUUCACAGAGGGGCAGACUUGCUCUAAAGCUUUUGUUGCAAUUAAAGAGUUUCGUUCCUUGAGUAUUCAUACACAUCAGUCUGUGUUCCCAACACCAAAUUUAACUGUCCACUCUCACUCCUCCAGCAAAAUGACCAAAGAACUGUUGAGGACGUUUUUACAAGAAAUGGCAGUGGAAAAAAUCAGCGGAGAGAAACUUCUGCUUGUACUGGAUUUUUAACCCUUAACCAGAAUCGAUAUUUUGACAAACAUAACUGGGAUCGUGGGUCCAAAUGGACCCCUGAAUAAAAAUCCAACAUAAUCCCUAGAAAAGAUAUAAUUCAUAUGUAAAUAUGUAAUGAUUAUAUUAAAAUAAGUUUUGUUUCAAACAUAAA